GUUAUACUGUUGUGAACAUGUAGUAAGAAAUCAAAACAAUAUUUAGUAAAUGUUUAUGUUGACAGAAAUGGAUUUAUAAAAUAUAUAAUAAUGUAUCCAUUUUAAUUCCUUUUUAGGUAACCUUUCUGUGACAUGAUUUUCAUGGUGUUGGAUUAUAAAACUUUGGGGUCUAAUACAUCUAAAAGGAAGGUUAACAUCACAGUUUGUCCGUAAGGAUUGAGGUUGGGAAUGGCCAUUGGAGCUGACUUUUUUGGUAACUUUAACUGUGGCUGCAUGAAAAUGAUUGGGUGACUGUACCAGUAAAGAAUGUAAUUCAGACAAUUUUUGUGUAUGUUUGAGAAAAUGUUUAUAAUUUUUUACAAAAAAACAAAUAGUGUAAAGAUUCUCCAUUUUCAACAAGAUUGUAAGUUAUAGAUAACUUAUUUUGAAUUUUAAAAUCUCUCUUUUUUUUACCAUUAAAACCAAAGGAUAUAUUCAGGUAGCUCUACUCAUGUCCAUUCUUGACAAUUUUUUUGUCAUGCAUAUUGAGACUGAAUUGGUUUUUGGUAUGUAUAGUUUUGUUUUGAGUUCAUAGUUCAGAUUCAAUCAUGUAUUCAUUAUUUUUUUUCCCCUGUGGCUAGAUUUAAUUGGUACUUUGAAAAUGAAUUGAAAUGGACCAAUUUUAUUUGAAGACCUACUCUUUUAGAUAUAUUAAUAAUGGUCCGUGUCUAGUCAAAACACUUCCAGAAGUUAAGGAUGGAGAAUCUUAAAAAAAAAAGAAAAAAUGAAAUGUAUAUUUUGGUUUUCACCGUUGUUAAAUAUAUAUCUUUUCCGACUUUUUUCGUUUUUUUAUGCCCCUGCCAU